rnacentral:rRNA from 1 species
CGGACGGGUGAGUAGCGCGUGGGUGACCUGCCCCAUACCGGGGGAUAACAGCUGGAAACGGCUGCUAAUACCGCAUAAGCGCACAGAGCUGCAUGGCUCGGUGUGAAAAACUCCGGUGGUAUGGGAUGGGCCCGCGUCUGAUUAGGCAGUUGGCGGGGUAACGGCCCACCAAACCGACGAUCAGUAGCCGGCCUGAGAGGGCGACCGGCCACAUUGGGACUGAGACACGGCCCAAACUCCUACGGGAGGGCAGCAUG